rnacentral:misc_RNA from 1 species
CCAAUAGCGUAUAUUAAAGUUGUUGUGGUUAAAAAGCUCGUAGUUGAACCUUGGGCCUGGCUGGCCGGUCCGCCUCACCGCGUGUACUGGUCCGGCCGGGCCUUUCCCUCUGUGGAACCCCAUGCCCUUCACUGGGUGUGGUGGGGAAACAGGACUUUUACUGUGAAAAAAUUAGAGUGCUCCAGGCAGGCCUAUGCUCGAAUACAUUAGCAUGGAAUAAUAGAAUAGGACGUGUGGUUCUAUUUUGUUGGUUUCUAGGACCGCCGUAAUGAUUAAUAGGGACAGUCGGGGGCAUCAGUAUUCAAUUGUCAGAGGUGAAAUUCUUGGAUUUAUUGAAGACUAACUACUGCGAAAGCAUUUGCCAAGGAUGUUUUCAUUAAUCAGUGAACGAAAGUUAGGGGAUCGAAGACGAUCAGAUACCGUCGUAGUCUUAACCGUAAACUAUGCCGACUAGGGAUCGGGCGAUGUUCUUUUUCUGACUCGCUCGGCACCUUACG